UACGAAGGGGGCUAGCGUUGCUCGGAAUUACUGGGCGUAAAGGGCGCGUAGGCGGCACUGUUAGUCAGGCGUGAAAGUCCUGGGCUCAACCUGGGAACUGCGCUUGAUACGGCAGAGCUAGAGGAUGGAAGAGGGUCGCGGAAUUCCCAGUGUAGAGGUGAAAUUCGUAGAUAUGUGGAGGAACACCGAUGACGAAGGCAGCCCCCUGGGUCGACACUGACGCUCAUGCACAAAAGCGUGGGGAGCAAACAGG
rnacentral:rRNA from 1 species